rnacentral:rRNA from 1 species
GUGGGGAGCGAACAGGAUUAGAUACCCUGGUAGUCCACGCCGUUAACGAUGAGUGCUAAGUGUUAGAGGGUUUCCGCCCUUUAGUGCUGCAGCAAACGCAUUAAGCACUCCGCCUGGGGAGUACGGCCGCAAGGCUGAAACUCAAAGGAAUUGACGGGGGCCCGCACAAGCGGUGGAGCAUGUGGUUUAAUUCGAAGCAACGCGAAGAACCUUACCAGGUCUUGACAUCCUCUGACAACCCUAGAGAUAGGGCUUUCCCCUUCGGGGGACAGAGUGACAGGUGGUGCAUGGUUGUCGUCAGCUCGUGUCGUGAGAUGUUGGGUUAAGUCCCGCAACGAGCGCAACCCUUGAUCUUAGUUGCCAGCAUUAAGUUGGGCACUCUAAGGUGACUGCCGGUGACAAACCGGAGGAAGGUGGGGAUGACGUCAAAUCAUCAUGCCCCUUAUGACCUGGGCUACACACGUGCUACAAUGGAUGGAACAAAGGGCAGCGAAGCCGCGAGGUGAAGCCAAUCCCAUAAAACCAUUCUCAGUUCGGAUUGCAGGCUGCAACUCGCCUGCAUGAAGCCGGAAUC